CAGAAGGUAGUCUAGUGGUUAGAGCGUUGGACUAGUAACCAGCAGGUAGCCUAGUGGUUAGAGCGUUGGACUAGUAACCAGCAGGUAGCCUAGUGGUUAGAGCGUUGGACUAGUAACCAGCAGGUAGCCUAGUGGUUAGAGCGUUGGACUAGUAACCAGCAGGUAGCCUAGUGGUUAGAGCGUUGGACUAGUAACCAGCAGGUAGCCUAGUGGUUAGAGCGUUGGACUAGUAACCAGCAGGUAGCCUAGUGGUUAGAGCGUUGGACUAGUAACCAGCAGGUAGCCUAGUGGUUAGAGCUUUGGACUAGUAACCAGCAGGUAGCCUAGUGGUUAGAGCGUUGGACUAGUAACCAGCAGGUAGCCUAGUGGUUAGAGCGUUGGACUAGUAACCAGCAGGUAGCCUAGUGGUUAGAGUGUUGGACUAGUAACCAGCAGGUAGUCUAGUGGUUAGAGCGUUGGACUAGUAACCAGCAGGUAGCCUAGUGGUUAGAGCGUUGGACUAGUAACCAGCAGGUAGCCUAGUGGUUAGAGCGUUGGACUAGUAACCGGAAGGUAGCCUAGUGGUUAGAGCGUUGGACUAGUAACCAGCAGGUAGCCUAGUGGUUAGAGCGUUGGACUAGUAACCAGCAGGUAGCCUAGUGGUUAGAGCGUUGGACUAGUAACCAGCAGGUAGCCUAGUGGUUAGAGCGUUGGACUAGUAACCAGAAGGUAGCCUAGUGGUUAGAGCGUUGGACUAGUAACCAGCAGGUAGCCUAGUGGUUAGAGCGUUGGACUAGUAACCAGCAGGUAGCCUAGUGGUUAGAGCGUUGGACUAGUAACCGGAAGGUAGCCUAGUGGUUAGAGCGUUGGACUAGUAACCAGCAGGUAGCCUAGUGGUUAGAGCGUUGGACUAGUAACCAGCAGGUAGCCUAGUGGUUAGAGCGUUGGACUAGUAACCAGCAGGUAGCCUAGUGGUUAGAGCGUUGGACUAGUAACCAGCAGGUAGCCUAGUGGUUAGAGCGUUGGACUAGUAACCAGCAGGUAGCCUAGUGGUUAGAGCGUUGGACUAGUAACCAGCAGGUAGCCUAGUGGUUAGAGCGUUGGACUAGUAACCAGCAGGUAGCCUAGCGGUUAGAGCGUUGGACUAGUAACCAGCAGGUAGCCUAGUGGUUAGAGCGUUGGACUAGUAACCAGCAGGUAGCCUAGUGGUUAGAGCGUUGGACUAGUAACCAGCAGGUAGCCUAGUGGUUAGAGCGUUGGACUAGUAACCAGCAGGUAGCCUAGUGGUUAGAGCGUUGGACUAGUAACCAGCAG